rnacentral:rRNA from 1 species
GACGGGGGCCCGCACAAGCGGAGGAACAUGUGGUUUAAUUCGAUGAUACGCGAGGAACCUUACCCAGGCUCGAACGGUACAGGAUUAAUAUAGAGAUAUAUUAUCAUAGCAAUAUGUCUGUAUCGAGGUGCUGCAUGGUUGUCGUCAGCUCGUGCCGUGAGGUGUCGGCUUAAGUGCCAUAACGAGCGCAACCCCUGUCGUCAGUUGCCAUCAAGUAGUGUUGGGCACUCUGGCGAGACUGCCGCCGUAAGGUGCGAGGAAGGUGGGGAUGACGUCAAAUCAGCACGGCCCUUACGUCUGGGGCGACACACGUGUUACAAUGGCAGGUACAGAGGGUAGCCAGGUAGCGAUACCGCGCCAACCCCCAAAACCUGUCUCAGUUCGGACUGGAGUCUGCAACUCGACUCCACGAAGCUGGAUUCGCUAGUAAUCGCGCAUCAGCCAUGGCGCGGUGAAUACGUUCCCGGGCCUUGUACACACCGCCCGUCAAGCCAUGGAAGCCGGGGGUGCCUGAAGUCCGUGACCGCAAGGAGCGGCCUAGGGCAAAACUGGUGACUGGGGCUAAGUCGUAACAAGGUAGGCCGUACCGGAA